GUCUAUGGUCAUGCUACCCUGAACAAGCUUGAUCCCGUCUGAUCUCAGAAGCUAAGCAGGAUCGGGCCUUAAUAGUACUUGGAUGGAAGACCACCUCGGAAGACCAGGCGCUGUAGGCA
rnacentral:rRNA from 1 species